rnacentral:rRNA from 1 species
AGCGAACGCUGGCGGCAGGCCUAACACAUGCAAGUCGAACGGAUCCUCCGGGAUUAGUGGCGGACGGGUGAGGAACACGUGGGAACGUGCCUUUUGGUUCGGAACAACUCAGGGAAACUUGAGCUAAUACCGGAUAAGCCCUUCGGGGAAAGAUUUAUCGCCAUUAGAGCGGCCCGCGUCUGAUUAGCUAGUUGGUGAGG